rnacentral:rRNA from 1 species
GAUGAACGCUGGCGGCGUGCUUAACACAUGCAAGUCGAACGAUGAAGCCCAGCUUGCUGGGUGGAUUAGUGGCGAACGGGUGAGUAACACGUGAGUAACCUGCCCUUAACUCUGGGAUAAGCCUGGGAAACUGGAUCUAAUACCGGAUAGGAGCGUCCACCGCAUGGUGGGUGUUGGAAAGAUUUAUCGGUUUUGGAUGGACUCGCGGCCUAUCAGCUUGUUGGUGAGGUAAUGGCUCACCAAGGCGACGACGGGUAGCCGGCCUGAGAGGGUGACCGGCCACACUGGGACUGAGACACGGCCCAGACUCCUACGGGAGGCAGCAGUGGGGAAUAUUGCACAAUGGGCGCAAGCCUGAUGCAGCGACGCCGCGUGAGGGAUGACGGCCUUCGGGUUGUAAACCUCUUUCAGUAGGGAAGAAGCGAAAGUGACGGUACCUGCAGAAGAAGCACCGGCUAACUACGUG